rnacentral:rRNA from 1 species
UACGUAGGGGGCCAGCGUUGUUCGGAAUUACUGGGUGUAAAGGGUUCGUAGGCGGUGUGGCAAGUUGGGAGUGAAAUCUCUGGGCUCAACCCAGAGACGGCUUCCAAAACUGCCGUGCUUGAGUGUGGGAGAGGCUCGUGGAAUUGCAGGUGUAGCGGUGGAAUGCGCAGAUAUCAGGAGGAACACCAACGGCGAAGGCAGCUCGCUGGGACGGUACUGACGCUGAGGCGCGAAAGCGUGGGGAGCGAACAGG